GCUGGCGGCGUGCCUAACACAUGCAAGUCGAACGAGAAAGUGGAGCAAUCCAUGAGUAAAGUGGCGACCGGGUGAGUAACACGUGACUAACCUACCUUCGAAUGGGGAAUAACUCCGGGAAACCGGGGCUAAUACCGCAUAACACCGCAAGGUCAAAGCAGCAAUGCGUUUGAAGAGGGGGUCGCGGCUGAUUAGCUAGUUGGCGGGGUAACGGCCCACCAAGGCGAAGAUCGGUAUCCGGCCUGAGAGGGCGCACGGACACACUGGAACUGAAACACGGUCCAGACUCCUACGGGAGGCAGCAGUGGGGAAUUUUGCGCAAUGGGGGAAACCCUGACGCAGCAACGCCGCGUGGAGGAUGAAGCCCCUUGGGGCGUAAACUCCUUUCGACCAAGACGAUAAUGACGGUACUGGUGGAAGAAGCACCGGCUAACUCUGUGCCAGCAGCCGCGGUAAUACAGAGGGCGCGAGCGUUGUUCGGAAUUAUUGGGCGUAAAGGGCGCGUANGCGGUGCCACAAGUCACUUGUGAAAUCCCC
rnacentral:rRNA from 1 species